GUAUUCUUACUUUAACAGCACAUACACUAAAACUAAAAUAAUACAUAGAAAAUUGGCAUGACUCUUACAUAUAGAUGACACACAAAUUUGUGAAGCAUUCCAUGUUUUC
ensembl:snRNA U6 U6 spliceosomal RNA